ACUCCGUGUCGGAUUUUUUUGUUUAUUUUUUGUACUUAAUUCUUCCCAUAUAUAUUUGUUUGAACCGCAGGUUGUUGUGCACCGAAGCACCAACCCUUGCCGAUGAAGGACUCCAUCGGAUUAAAGGCCUUUUUGCGGCUAAUAACGCGUCGCGGCUGACACUAUGCGAUAUUAUUGGGCGACGUUACAACGUUACGUUUUGUCCGACAGAGUAACAAUUAUUAAUUUUACAAUUACAAUUUUAACCAAGCAUUAUCAAGGUAUUGGAUUCCGGGCUUCCAGGGUUCCACUCUGUUCUAAAAUUGACUUCACGGCUUGAAAACUUGAAAUGGAAUGAUGAAAAAAUCCAAGUGGCCAAAUGCAGAAAAAACUGCCAAUUGGAGCAGCGCUGCUUGGUGCUGCGUGACAAAAUGAGAUGUAAAUGGUAACAGCAUUUGUCUCGUUUUCGCAACGAACGCAAUCCAAAAGCAAUGACAAUGCUGCCCACGAAGUAAACAACAAAAGAGAAUGCCAAAUCCAUUCACUGGAAUUGAUAUCCCAGAAUAUUCUUCAUUUUCCAUUUCAUGUAUUUGUGAAAAAUUAACAGAUGGCGCUGUUUGCAUUUACCAUUAAAAAUUAUUCUCUGGAUUUCGCAACAUAAAGUUGAAGUAAAAGCUGUCAUGAGCUAAAAAGCA